UACAGAGGGUGCGAGCGUUGUUCGGAAUCAUUGGGCGUAAAGCGCUUGUAGGCGGCUUGUUAAGUCGCGUGUGAAAUCCCUUGGCUCAACCAAGGAAGUGCGCGCGAAACUGGCGAGCUCGAGUGCCGGAGAGGGUCGCGGAAUUCCCGGUGUAGAGGUGAAAUUCGUAGAUAUCGGGAGGAACACCAGUGGCGAAGGCGGCGACCUGGACGGACACUGACGCUGAGUGAGCGAAAGCCAGGGGAGCAAACGGG
rnacentral:rRNA from 1 species